UUGUUAAUUGCUGGCCUGUAUGAAUGGCUAAACGAGGGCUCCACUGUCUCAAUAAUAAACCUAGUGAAAUUGAAACGGUGGCGAAGCUGCCACCUAUGAAUUCUAAGACGAGAAGACCCCAUUGAGCUUUACUAUUAACUUGUAUUGCCAGAGCGCGAGCAAAUAAGCAAAAAGAUUAGAAGGGGAUCCGAAGGAUCCCCUUGCUUCAUAAUAAAAUUGUGUAGACUAAGUGGGAAAAAGAUAAAACAAGGGAUUUAAAAGAAUCCCGGGGCGCGGGAAGGGGGUGCCAAUGGCGUGGUUUUCCCCCCCCGCCCCGGGUCCCGAUUUAUAUGAAAAACCACUCUUUUUAUUAAGAUUACUGUCUACAACCGUACAAGUAAGAUAGUUUGGUUGGGGCGACCGCCUUCGAAAAAGUAUCGAAGGCGCACAUAAGAUUAGUCCGGAGGGGGGUCCGAAGGCCCUCCCGGGGGUAAUGCCCCAAAGAAAAGAUUAGUUUGACUGAGAGGGCUACAACCCGAACAGGCGCUAUUAAAAAGGGAUAAAAAGUCUUUUUGCGGGUCAUAGUGAUCCGUUGUUAUAUUGUGGGAUUGACAACGAUCAACGAAGAAAAGUUACCAUGGGGAUAAACAGCGUAA
rnacentral:rRNA from 1 species